AAGACGUAGAAAAGGGGCAAAAAGACCAGUUUGCGCGGCAGGAAGACAGGAACGGACUAAGCGAUCCGCGGCCGCGCCGGCGGCAGGCCUGGCCAGCCGGAAGACAGCGCGCGCGAUUUGUGACGCUCUUUUCGUUUGCUUUGGAUUGGAUUCCAGAACAAGCUCCAGAACUUGGCGUGUAGAGCCCCAGAAAAGCAGCUUCUCUUCCCCUAGAGGGAAACAUUCACUCUAUCGAAAGGGUCCGUCUUGCCACACGUGCAGUUCUCGUUCUGGGCCCAGGUGUACAGACACACAGCUGAGAGGUGGCCGUCGCGCACCUUUCGCUCCUCGUUUUUCGGAGAUCGAACCCGUUUCGACACUUUCGGUUGUGAGCGAUCUGAGCCGCUUUUGCCACUCAAGUAGGCUCCCUAAGGACGGGGGAAGGGGUAUGCCUUUGUCAUGGCGAGUAUAGGGCGUUCUUUGUCUUGCGCGGCGCCGCCUGCAAACGCUGUUCUGCCGCUGCUCUCGCUGCUGGCGAAAAACGCGAGACCGUCGUCCUCUUCUCGCGGGGAGUUGUUUGAGGGGCUGGGAAUAGACGUCGAAGCUCCUCACGCCCUGUUCCACAGCGGCUGAGACUAAAGGAGAAACGCGCACCGCAAGAGAGCGUCGAGAGGCCAGCCCGACGUACGCGCUGAGCUGCUGGUCCCGUGCGAGUCGAAGAGUCGUUCUGCCCGUACAGGAUGUGUUGGAGAACACCCGAGAAAAAGGAGAGGGGGGAGAGGACGCAAGGGGAAGAAACAGAGAGAUUCUGUUCCGCGGCGCGCAUCCAGUGGCUCUGAGUUAGAGGAACUCCAGCAAGCAGAAGAUAGACCAGAAGGUGGGCGAUGCCCGAGUCACCAGGAGCGAUGAGCAAGCACAUCGGGCUGCUGUCUUCGUGGUUGUAUUCUUCUUGAAAUCACUUUGAGAGGCGAGUGCGCGACAUCUACUGACUGCGUGACCGUCACUGGAUAUGCCGGAAGGAGUUGCAGUAAAAAGGAGCUGCAUUUUUGCUGGAGCUCCACAUAUCUAUGCCACAUCUAUGCGUAAAUGUAUAUGUGCACCUGUAUACGUGCAGGAUACCUUCUGAACGCCUAUACGAAGACGCGCACAUGUGCACGCCCACCACCACAUGUAUACCGACAGAUGUGAAAAGGCGGAUCUGCAUGUGCACGUGGACUUUUUAGAAACAAAGGCGCGAGUGCGCGACCGUCUGAGACUGGAGAAAAACAAGAGUACCACGGACUCAGAACAGCACUUGCGACAAUCGAUGAAUCUGCAUAUAUAUAUAUAUAUAUGUAUACAUGAGUGUAAGCAUAUUGAUGAAUAUCUACAUCUGUGUAUUUGUUUAUUCGUCUGUAUAAGGCAGCGGAUAGUUUUGUCGGCUGUUGGAGACUCUUUGGAUCUGCAGGGAGUUGGCGACUGCGUGGCAAUUCACGAAAAAAGCGUUGCUUCCCGUCAGGCCAAGGGCGCGACUACAGCCCAGUGCGUCGGUUGCUCUAUUCUCGCAAACCUUUCAGUCCCCGCCA
rnacentral:lncRNA from 1 species